GAUGAAGAACGCAGCAAAAUGCGAUAAGUAAUGUGAAUUGCAGAAUUCAGUGAAUCAUCGAAUCUUUGAACGCACAUUGCGCCCAUUAGUAUUCUAGUGGGCAUGCCUGUUCGAGCGUCAUUUCAACCCUUAAGCCUAGCUUAGUAUUGGGAAUCGACUUUACUGUCGUUCCUCAAAUUCAACGGCGGAUUUAUAGCAAUCUCUGAACGUAGUAAUUUUUUUUCUCGUUUUUGAAAUACUAUAAACCUCAGCCGCUAAACCCCCAAUUUCUUAUGGUUGACCUCGGAUCAGGUAGGAAUACCCGCUGAACUUAAGCAUAUCAAUAAGCGGAGGA
rnacentral:misc_RNA from 1 species